GAGUAACUAUGACUCUCUUAAGGUAGCCAAAUGCCUCGUCAUCGUAUACGAUCAAAAGCGUGCGCGGUCUAGCUUUGUACUCCGAUUGCUGAAUCGUCGAGUCGCUAGAUGCGUAUUGCAGCCAAGCGUGAGUGGGGUACUCGUUACUCGCUUGCAUUGGGGUGUGCCUAUCUAACGAGAGAUAGACUGCUCGCUUGAGGCGUUAAGCGUGGAGUAUGGUUCGGUCCGAUUCAGUUCGGCCAACCGAAAGAUGCGUUUACGCUCGAGGCGUGGUACGUCCGCACUCGUUCCUCCAGUCGCUAGCCGAUUGACUCGUUCAGUCGGUUGGGCGCUUGUCGUCAAAUUGCAGGAAUCGGUCCAGGCGCUUAGGCGCUUGGCUGAGACUAGCAGCCAAGCCAGAAGGGCCAUCAGUCCAAUCGGUUCGAUUCAGUUCGGGUCGAGCGGGCGUUAACGGGCUCGGACGGCAGGUCCAGAGACUGAAAGGCGAUACAAGCGUGGGGUUAAAGUAACAGUCCGCAUUUGAUUCGAGCCAUCGAACAGUGAUUGCACGCUUGAGGCAUCACUCGGUAGUAGGCUCACCCAGACGGUCUCGACCUCGUCUCUCGAUUGCUGAAUCUGAGACGUAACAGAGGCGUUGAAGACGCGCGCAACCUCACCCUUCUCGAUUAGCUGAUCGGGAUGUGGUGUAACCGAGUGCGUUGGAUACGUUCGACCUCGCCUUUCCUGAUUAGCUGAAUCGGACGUGGCGUAACUGUAGCCGCCUGGGCGGUGUGCCAACAAUAUGACACGGUACGCGCAAAGCACGCUCACAAAUGCGUUAAUUUGUGACGCGCAUGAAUGGAUUAAUGAGAUUCCCACUGUCCCUACCUACUAUCUAGCGAAACCGCAGCCAAGGGAACGGGCUUGGCACAAUUAGCGGGGAAAGAAGACCCUGUUGAGCUUGACUCUAGGCAUAGACGCGAGGUGAUUCUAAAGGUGUAGCAUAGGUGGGAGGGCCCAGCCCGAUCCUGAAAUACCACCACUUUCGACAUCGCUUUGCUAAUGCUGUAACGAAUGAACGAUCCCCCGUUCCAGAGGUCCGCAAGGGCUGAAGUCGGGUAAGAUCAUAUUCUGGCGUCUUCCACGGUUGCAUGAUGGGUUAGCUAACCUAGGAUAGUACUUCGGAUCCACGAGACGGGCUUCCGGGUCUGGCGAAUGUUGCGUUCGGGGGAACUAGGCGUGAGAGCUCAUCCUCUGCAGCCAAAAUGGUACAUAGUCAGUAGCAGACUAUCUAUGUUGGGGAGUUUGGCUGGGGCGGAAAACUGCUACACGGCAACGGCAGUCUCCUAAGGUCCACUCAGAGACGACAGAAACGUCUCGUAGAGCAUAAAGGCAAAAGUGGGCUUAACUCGCAUUUUCAGUAGUAAUGUGAAGCGAGAAAUUGCGGCUUAACGAUCCUUAGCGGCGGGUGCCAGCCCACGCUUGAGGUGAGAGAAAAGUUACCACAGGGAUUGAUAAAAUACACACACACGGUAACGGGCAGUAACUAUGACGGGCGUUCAAACUGCGGGUCGGAUUCGUUCGAUCACGCGGUACGUCCUGAAACGGGGUCCCAAAACGAGUCGUUUAAUAGACACGCCGUCUGGGUACAGUGCAGGUUCCCAAGACGGACGAUGUCGAGCGACUGGUUUGCUUUUUUUAAACGGCGACGCACCUGGAUGCUGAGACGGUCUAAAAGGACUUCCCCCCCUUCCCCUGUCCACCUCUACAAGAGGCGGCGUUUGGGGUCGGGUGCGGGGUCGUCUUACAAACGGCGGUUGGUACCAAGCGUUCUUCGGUUACACCGAGGCGUGGAGCGGGUCCCGUGUUUCGACACGGGGCUGCGGGUCAUAAUUCAACCGUUCGGGGCUUAUCAGCAAGCGACGAGGCCAUCCAGCCGAGACACAACGAGGAUCGUGACCACCCCUUCGGGGGAGGCAGCUCCGUACGGUGCACGGCGGGUCAAAAUGAUGGUUAAGCGCUUCAACGACUGGAAAGGUGUGGGCUCACGUGGCAAGUGCGAGGAGGGAGGGGGUCGGAGCGUCUCGGAGCGAUCCGAGGCGUGUACCCACCCCCCUCCGUCUCCGCUAGCCGCAUGGGUUCAAGGUACAGUCUCUCCUGGCCUCGAGUAGUCAGUCCCCCCUACCCCCCCCCUCUCUCGCCCUACCCCCCUCGGGGGGUGUGGGUGUGCGUGGGGGGGAGGAAAAGGAGACGGGCGAAUGAGGCUGCUGUGGUCUCACAACCCAUCACUGCAAGGGCGAGCCGUUAGGGUCGGGAGACGGCGGAUGGCGUUCUCGUUAAGUAGCGUGGGUAAAAAUUUUUCGGACCCCUCGCGAAAGAGAACGGCAGCUGCAAAAGUCUCGUUUCAAAACGACGACCCGUUUCUUUCGGGCAUGGCGAAUAAACGGAACUGGCUUGUGGCCGCCAAGCGUUCAUAGCGACGUGGC
rnacentral:rRNA from 1 species